UACGUAGGGUGCGAGCGUUGUCCGGAAUUACUGGGCGUAAAGAGCUCGUAGGUGGUUUGUCGCGUUGUUCGUGAAAACUCUCAGCUCAACUGUGGGCGUGCGGGCGAUACGGGCAGACUAGAGUACUGCAGGGGAGACUGGAAUUCCUGGUGUAGCGGUGGAAUGCGCAGAUAUCAGGAGGAACACCGGUGGCGAAGGCGGGUCUCUGGGCAGUAACUGACGCUGAGGAGCGAAAGCGUGGGGAGCGAACAGG
rnacentral:rRNA from 1 species